rnacentral:rRNA from 1 species
UACGUAGGUGGCAAGCGUUGUCCGGAUUUACUGGGCGUAAAGAGCGCGCAGGCGGUCGUUCAAGUCGCGUGUGAAAGCCCCCGGCUCAACUGGGGAGGGUCACGCGAUACUGAUCGACUCGAAGGCAGGAGAGGGUAGUGGAAUUCCCGGUGUAGUGGUGAAAUGCGCAGAUAUCGGGAAGAACACCCGUGGCGAAGGCGGUUCUCUGGGACGGUACUGACGCUGAGGUGCGAAAGCGUGGGGAGCAAACAGG